AUUGAACGCUGGCGGCAUGCCUUACACAUGCAAGUCGAACGCGAAAGGGGAGCAAUCCCCAAGUAGAGUGGCGAACGGGUGAGUAAUACAUCGGAACGUACCCAGUAGCGGGGGAUAACCUCUCGAAAGAGAGGCUAAUACCGCAUACGACCUACGGGUGAAAGAGGGGGAUCGCAAGACCUCUCACUAUUGGAGCGGCCGAUGUCGGAUUAGCUAGUUGGUGGGGUAACGGCCACCAAGGCGACGAUCCGUAGCUGGUCUGAGAGGACGACCAGCCACACUGGGACUGAGACACGGCCCAGACUCCUACGGGAGGCAGCAGUGGGGAAUCUUGCGCAAUGGGCGAAAGCCUGACGCAGCGACGCCGCGUGAGGGAAGAAGG
rnacentral:rRNA from 1 species